GAGAGAGAGAGAGAGAGAGAGAGAGAGAGAGAAAGAGGAGAAGCGACUUGACUCCUUUUUCCUUACGGUUGCAUGCGUUCGCAGCAAGAGAUGGGGGUAUAGACAAAGAGGAGGAGGGUACAACAGGGCUUUUCUUCUACGGUUGAUCAUCUUUUCUUCCAACCACAACCUAUCCCAUUUGGAGAGAGAUUGAGGGAUAGAGAGCAACCAGGCGUGGAUAAAAUUGAUAUUGGAGGAGGAAAAAAGAUGAUCUUGGAGACAGACAAGGGGCCUUUUCUCCUCUUCUUUUUGAGAUUGGAAAUGCUGCAUUAGCGUCUGCAACCAUCAGCAGAAGAGAAAGGAGCACUAUCAACCAAUCUCCUAAAGCAACAAACCGCAGAUCUCUUUCUCUCUCUUCAGACAUCCCAAGAUCCAGUGGGAUUGCAGGUGGUAGUGUUGCGGAUUAUUAGAUGAGAGGAGGGAUGCCCUUUGCUGUCCAAGAGAAGGGAGCUCCUCUGCAGGUCUUAGAAGGAGAAGAAGGCCUCUUUUGGUGUGCUUCUGCUACCGCUGCCGCUAAUAACAGUCUUAGGAAGAGGAGGGAGGGGGAGGAAGGAUCGCCGCUGGAGCCGCGGUCAGUACUGGAAAACCUGCGAAGCCCCAGCCCGCCAAGCUCCUCCGCUUCCACCGUGUCUUCCUCCCGCGUCGUUAGCGGUGGAGGGCCGGCGUCCUCCGAUGGCUCCGCCACCGCCACCGCCACCCACACCCCCACCACAUCGGCGGCGGCGGAAGCUGCCCGGAGGGAUGAAGGGGCUGCAGACCUCCCGCCCGUCCCCACCGUCCUCGCCGCUGGAGAGGACUGCUCGCUAGGCGGCGUCGAUGACUGGGAGGCCUUACUCUCGGAACCGGCCGCCUCCAUCGGCCAAGACCAGACCUUUCUCCGGUGGAUCAUUGAUGAAGCCGACAACAAUUCUGCUGCUAGAGGCAACGGCACCGGAUUGCUCUUCGAUCCGGCUUUCGUGUUAGAAGGUGCUUCGGCGUCGGCGGAAACCGCUAGUCCUCCUCCGAUGGCUUCCUCUGUCCUCUCUGCCGGUGUACUUGGAUCCAAAGGUGCCACCUUUGGGUGCACUCCCAGCCUCGCUCCUCGGCCGGCGAAUAGCCUUCCCCUGUCUCUACCUCCGCUGCCGCCGGGAGUCAUCUCCCAAGAAUCCACGGAGGAAAAGCCCCUCUUCGGUUCGAGCCUGUUCUUUGCGCACCAACAGCAGGCCCAACCCCCGCAACGCUCUUCCUUCUUCCUCCCUUUGAAUCAUUUCGCCGGCUACCAUGAGGGCCAGCCACUGGAGCAUCUUGCCCCACCUCCGCGAAAACGCCCUGCCAUCGACCCGCUCCCUAGUUCCCACGUCCCUGACCUCUUUCUCCGCCGUAACCAGCCGCAGCAGCUGGGACUCCCUCAGCAGUUCAAUACCGCUGCAUUCCAGCUUCAACCGGCGCCAGGAAAGCCCAAAUUGGCAAACGGAGAUGAGGCGUCCGUGGCUGCAAGGCAGCAGCGGGAAUUGGUUGACCAGCUCUUCAAGGCGGCCGAGGUUCUCGAGGCCGGGAACACCGUCAGCGCCCGUGGGAUAUUGGCGCGGCUCAAUCACCAGUUCCCCUCUCCCGUAGGGAAGCCAUUCCUGCGGUCCGCCUUCUACUUCAAGGAGGCCCUCCACCUCCUCGCCAGCCACUCCCCCCACCCGCACCCGCCUCCGUCGCUCCCAAUCUCGACGCCACUGGACGUCAUGCUCAAGCUUGGAGCUUACAAGACCUUCUCCGACGUCUCCCCCAUCGUCCAAUUCGCCAGCUUCACCUGCAUCCAACCCCUCUUGGAGGCGCUUGACGGCGCGAGUCGGAUCCACAUCAUCGACUUCGACAUUGGGGUCGGAAUGCAGUGGUCAGCCUUCAUGCAGGAGCUUGCGCAGCGAUGGUCCUCAUCAAUGGCUACCGCCCCAUUCCUCAAAAUCACGGCUUUUGCCUCCGCCUACUCUCACCACUCCCUAGAGCUCAACCUCAUCCACCAGAACCUGUCUCAUUUCGCCAGCAGCCUCAACAUCCCCUUUGAAUUCAAUGUCCUUAGCCUCGACCCCUUCGACCCAACAGUGCUCUUCAGAAUGUGCUCUGCCAUGGAUGAGGCUGUCGCAGUAAACCUCCCCAUUGGCUCUGCAAUUCGUCCACCCAUCCCGACUCUCCUACGAUUUGUGAAGCAGCUCUCCCCCAAGAUUGUAGUCUCAGUCGAUUAUGGAUGUGAUCGCAUUGACCUGCCCUUUGCCCAUCACAUUCUCCAUGCAUUCCAGUCAUGCACAGUGCUCCUCGACUCAAUUGAUGCAGCCGGUGCCAAUCAGGAUGCAGCUAAUAAGAUCGAAAGAUUCCUAGUGCGGCCAAGGAUAGAAAGUGCAGUUCUGGGCCGGCACCAUUUGUCAGACAAGACACUACCUUGGAGAACUCUAUUUGCUUCUGCUGGAUUUAUGCACGUCCAAUUCAGCAACUUCACUGAGACGCAAGCAGAGUGUCUUCUGAAGAGGGUGCUGGUUAGGGGCUUCCAUGUGGAGAAGCGCCAAUCUUCCCUUUCCCUCUGUUGGCAGCGUGGGGAGCUCGUUUCGGUGUCAGCAUGGAAGUGCUGAAUGAGCUUCUUUUCUUACAGUUUCUGCAGCUAUAAGAGAUAUGCACUUUAUUUCUUGGCACAAGAAUCAACUCGGAUUUGCCGAAGUCGGUGCUGAAGGAACACAUACUAAGCCCCUAUGUACCACUGAUGGUGGAUUAUGUUGUGAUACUUCUGGGUGCAUCCACAAUUGGAAGAACCAGACUUGGGAAUGCACACUGUCAUCACCUAUGUCUAAAUGAAUGUAGCGUAUAAAUAACUUGAGUCUCCGGAUGACUAUUACUGUUAAAGUACUGUCAACUUUUAAUCCUUAUUGAGCAUAUCCAAACAUGUUUUAACA